GUGUCAGCAGCCGCGGUAAUACGGAGGGUGCGAGCGUUGUCCGGAUUUAUUGGGUUUAAAGGGUGCGUAGGCGGCUUGUUAAGUCCGGGGUGAAAGCCCACAGCUCAACUGUGGAACUGCCCUGGAUACUGGCAAGCUUGAGUCCAGACGAGGUUGGCGGAAUGGAUGCUGUAGCGGUGAAAUGCAUAGAUAGCAUCCAGAACCCCGAUUGCGAAGGCAGCUGACUAGGCUGGCACUGACGCUGAGGCACGAAAGCGUGGGGAGCGAACAGGAUUAGAAACCCGUGUAGUCC
rnacentral:rRNA from 1 species